rnacentral:rRNA from 1 species
CCGCGGUGAUACGGAGGGCGCAAGCGUUGUCCGGAAUUACUGGGCGUAAAGGGGGCGCAGGCGGCUUGCUAAGUCCUGUGUGAAAGCCCGCGGCUCAACCGCGGAAAUGCACUAGAUACUGGCGAGCUUGAGACGGGUAGAGGCGAGUGGAAUUCCCGGUGUAGCGGUGGAAUGCGUAGAUAUCGGGAAGAACACCAGUGGCGAAGGCGACUCGCUGGGCCCGUUCUGACGCUCAGGCCCGAAAGCGUGGGGAGCAAACAGGAUUAGAUACCCUGGUAGUCCACGCCGUAAACGAUGGGCACUAGGUGCUGGGGAGUGUGACCUCUUCGGUGCCGUAGCUAACGCGUUAAGUGCCCCGCCUGGGGAGUACGGCCGCAAGGCUGAAACUCAAAGGAAUUGACGGGGGCCCGCACAAGCGGUGGAGCAUGUGGUUUAGUUCGAUGCAACGCGAAGAACCUUACCUGGGCUUGACAUGCUAGGGAACUCGGGUGGAAACAUCCGGGGCCCUUCGGGGCUCUAGUACAGGUGCUGCAUGGCUGUCGUCAGCUCGUGUCGUGAGAUGUUGGGUUAAGUCCCGCAACGAGCGCAACCCUUGCCCGUAGUUGCCAGCGGGUAACGCCGGGGACUCUACGGGGACUGCCGGUGAUAAACCGGAGGAAGGUGAGGACGACGUCAAGUCAUCAUGGCCCUUACGUCCAGGGCGACACACGUGCUACAAUGGUCGAUACAGUGGGCUGCAAUCCCGCGAGGGUGAGCCAAUCCCAAAAAGCCGGCCUAAGUUCGGAUCGGAGUCUGCAACUCGACUCCGUGAAGCCGGAAUCGCUAGUAAUCGUGGAUCAGCCAUGCCACGGUGAAUACGUUCCCGGGCUUUGUACACACCGCCCGUCACGCCAUGGAAGCUGGGGGGACCCGAAGUCAGUGGCCUAACCUUCGGGAGGGAGCUGCCUAAGGUCAAUCCGGUGACUGGGGUGAAGUCGUAACAAGG